UUCUCCCUAUUCUCUCGACAUGCACACUGUCCACAUCAGCGGAUUGCCACGUCAUUUUUCAGUUUUUAAAAUCAUCCAAUCACUCUUAUUACCCUGCGGUCAAGGUGGUGGAAAAAAGACCUGCUUUUCCCCUCACCUGCCGCCCGCACGGCCGCCGGCCAUCCCGCACGAUCCACCCACCUCCAGCCCAGCGUCGGUGCUCACCGCUCAAAAAAAAACUUCCGAAAAUCCAGCCCUCUCCCCUCGAGGAAAAAAUACUACCAAAUCAACUUGGCAUUUAUGAUUCCCAACGCAGAGCCUCGCAUCUUCCCCACGAAACAGAUUCAACUUCCUCUUCGUCUUCUCCAACCUUCAUCAAAUCCCACUGUGUUAUUUUUUUGCAACCGAAACAGAUAGGGUGUGGCAGUGAGCGAUGGUGAAAGGAGUUCCUCCUCGGCGAUGAGGUACCCCGACGGCCGUCCCUGCCCUAUCUCCGGCAUUCCUAUCGUAGGUGCGCCAGCCAUGGAAGAACAGCGCCUUGCGGAGGAUGCUGUCGCGCUGGGAUCGGCCCCAGCCACCCUCGGCGAGUACCUCGCGGUCUCCUCAUGCAUAUGGCCAGACUCUCCUCGAAGCGCCCUCAUGUCCUUGCUCUGCUCCGGACCGUCCUAGCGCUGGCCGCCUCUGAUGCAUCAGACACGGUCAUCCCCGGCGCGGCCCAGUUCCAGCGUGAUCCAAAGGGGGAGCUCCCUCAUGUCGUUGCUGUGCGCCCUCAUUGUGGCGGCGGCCUCGGACGCGCCUGAUGCGGCAAUCACCAUCGCGCCUGAUGUGACCCUUUUCAAUCCCCUCCCGACCCUUUUCAAUCCCCUCCCCCCGCCUCCUCUACUAAAUUAGUCAAACCUUUUGUUGUUCAUAGUAGUAGUACUGAACUACUGAUCCUGAUCAUCUCCUCACGGCAUGGCCAUGAAUUCCAUUAAUUAAAUAAUUGACGGCAUGGCUUCUUCUUUCAUGUAACUGUGCAGGUUUAUAGUGAACUCACUAGAACUCCCAUUGUCUAAGUCUGCGUAAUCCCAUCAACAAGUUGAUAGGUUUGGUAAAACUCCAAGCAUGUGUAUUGAUUAUUGAGAGGUUCGUUUCAGUGCAAUUUCCUUUUUGGACCAAAA